rnacentral:rRNA from 1 species
UACGAAGGGGGCUAGCGUUGCUCGGAAUCACUGGGCGUAAAGCGCACGUAGGCGGAUUGCUAAGUCAGGGGUGAAAUCCUGGAGCUCAGCUCCAGAACUGCCUUUGAUACUGGCGAUCUCGAGUCCGGGAGAGGUGAGUGGAACUGCGAGUGUAGAGGUGAAAUUCGUAGAUAUUCGCAAGAACACCAGUGGCGAAGGCGGCUCACUGGCCCGGUACUGACGCUGAGGUGCGAAAGCGUGGGGAGCAAACAGG